rnacentral:rRNA from 1 species
GUCUAAGGCACGCCACCCCGAACAAGCCCGAUCCCGUCUGAUCUCGGAAGCUAAGCAAGGUCGGGCCUGGUUAGUACGUGGAUGGGAGACCACCUAGGAAGACCAGGUGUUGUAGGCG